rnacentral:rRNA from 1 species
AAACAUGUCUUUUUUAAAUAAAAUUAAAGUCUAGCCUGCCCACUGAUAAUUUAAAUGGCCGCAGUAUCCUAACUGUGCAAAGGUAGCAUAAUCAUUAGUCUUUUAAUUGAAGGCUGGUAUGAAUGGUUGGACGAGAUACUAUCUGUUUCAAUUAAAUUUAUAAUAGAAUUUUAUUUUUUAGUCAAAAAGCUAAAAUAAAUUUAAAAGACGAGAAGACCCUAUAAAUCUUUAUACUUGUCUUAUUCUAGUUAUUUAGAUUAUUUAAACUCUUAUAAGUUAUGGUAUUUUAUUGGGGUGAUAUUAAAAUUUAAUAAACUUUUAAUUUUUAAAAACAUUUCUAUAUGAAUAUUUGAUCCGUUUUUAGCGAUUAUAAAAUUAAGUUACUUUAGGGAUAACAGCGUAAUUUUUUUGGAGAGUUCAUAUCGAUAAAAAAGAUUGCGACCUCGAUGUUGGAUUAAGAUACAGGUUUGGGCGCAGCCGUUCAAAUUUUAAGUCUGUUCGACUUUUUGAAUCUUACAUGAUCU